rnacentral:rRNA from 1 species
UCUACGGGAGGCAGCAGUGGGGAAUAUUGGACAAUGGGCGAAAGCCUGAUCCAGCCAUGCCGCGUGUGUGAAGAAGGCCUUCGGGUUGUAAAGCACUUUCAGUGGGGAAGAAAGCCUUGGGGCUAAUACCCUCGAGGAAGGACAUCACCCACAGAAGAAGCACCGGCUAACUCCGUGCCAGCAGCCGCGGUAAUACGGAGGGUGCGAGCGUUAUUCGGAAUUACUGGGCGUAAAGCGCGCGUAGGCGGUCUGAUAAGCCGGUUGUGAAAGCCCCGGGCUCAACCUGGGAACGGCAUCCGGAACUGUCAGGCUAGAGUGCAGGAGAGGAAGGUAGAAUUCCCGGUGUAGCGGUGAAAUGCGUAGAGAUCGGGAGGAAUACCAGUGGCGAAGGCGGCCUUCUGGACUGACACUGACGCUGAGGUGCGAAAGCGUGGGUAGCAAACAGGAUUAGAUACCCCUGUCGUC